ACAGCAAUCUAAGCAGUCACUGGAAGUGAACAGAGAGGGGGCAAAAAGUGACAGCUGGCGAGUCGGUGGGCUGGUCGAUAUGUUUGUGUAUUUUGCCCUCCAAGAGUUUCUAGCGUUUUCAUAAAGAUGAUUUUGUUACUGAAAAUUGUUGCGUAUGACUUGGGAAGAUGCUAUCAUUUUCGAUUCCUGGAAUAUGGCUGUGAACACCAAACACCGUAGUGUUUUACUUACUACUCUGAAAGAUUCCAGACACAGAUGUUUGAUAUCCGGGGGUAAAACGUCAUUUAGGGCUUUUAUUAUGGGCUUUCGGGAAUCACCCUCAACGGAUCCCGAACGGACAUGCACCUAUUGCUUGUUAGGUUUAAGAAAAUGAAAUAUCAAACGGAUGAAGACAGCCAUUAGAAGAGAAGGAUGGACGGGGCAGGAAAUGUAGUGGUUUAGUUUAGAAAUGAUGAAAGUGAAGGAUGUCGUUGAAAGUAAAUAAAAAAGAGAAGUGAA